AGUGAACGCUGGCGGUAGGCCUAACACACGCAAGUCGAACGGCAGCACAGUAAGAGCUUGCUCUUACGGGUGGCGAGUGGCGGACGGGUGAGGAAUACAUCGGAAUCUACUUUUUCGUGGGGGAUAACGUAGGGAAACUUACGCCAAUACCGCAUACGACCUACGGGUGAAAGCAGGGGAUCUUCGGACCUUGCGCGAUUGAAUGAGCCGAUGUCGGAUUAGCUAGUUGGCGGGGUAAAGGCCCACCAAGGCGACGAUCCGUAGCUGGUCUGAGAGGAUGAUCAGCCACACUGGAACUGAGACACGGUCCAGACUCCUACGGGAGGCAGCAGUGGGGAAUAUUGGACAAUGGGCGCAAGCCUGAUCCAGCCAUACCGCGUGGGUGAAGAAGGCCUUCGGGUUGUAAAGCCCUUUUGUUGGGAAAGAAAAGCAGCAGGUUAAUACCCCGCUGUUCUGACGGUACCCAAAGAAUAAGCACCGGCUAACUUCGUG
rnacentral:rRNA from 1 species